rnacentral:rRNA from 1 species
CCUACGGGGUGCAGCAGUGGGGGAUAUUGCACAAUGGGGGAAACCCUGAUGCAGCGACGCCGCGUGUGGGAAGACGGUCCUCUGGAUUGUAAACCACUGUCCCCAGGGACGAAGAUGACGGUACCUGGGGAGGAAGCUCCGGCUAACUACGUGCCAGCAGCCGCGGUACUACGUAGGGAGCGCGCGUUGUCCGGAAUUACUGGGUGUAAAGGGAGCGUAGGCGGGACUGCAAGUUGGGUGUCAAAUCUACCGGCGCGACCGGUAGCCGCACGCAAUACUGCAGUUCUUGAGUGAAGUAGAGGCAGGCGGAAUUCCUAGUGUAGCGGUGAAAUGCGUAGAUAUUAGGAGGAACACCAGUGGCGAAGGCGGCCUGCUGGGCUUUUACUGACGCUGAGGCUCGAAAGUGUGGGGAGCAAACAGGAUUAGAUACCCGAGUAGUC